UAGGAUCCCCAGGUGUUCUAUAGGUGUUCUAUAGGAUCCCCAGGUGUUCUAUAGGAUCCCCAGGUGCUCUAUAGGUGCUCUAUAGGAUCCCCAGGUGCUCUAUAGGGUCCCCCAGGUGUCCCCCAGGUGCUCUAUAGGAUCCCCAGGUGUUCUAUAGGGUCCCCCAGGUGCUCUAUAGGAUCCCCCAGGUGUCCCCCAGGUGUUCCAUAGGAUCCCCAGGUGUCCCCAGGUGCUCUAUAGAUGUUCUAUAGGAUCCCCAGGUGCUCUAUAGGAUCCCCAGGUGUUCUGCAGGUGUUCUAUAGGGUCCCCCAGGUGUUCUGUAGGUGUUCUAUAGGAUCCCCAGGUGCUCUAUAGGUGUUCUAUAGGGUCCCCCAGGUGCUCUAUAGGAUCCCCAGGUGCUCUAUAGGGUCCCCCAGGUGUUCUAUAGGUGUUCUAUAGGGUCCCCCGGGUGCUCUAUAGGUGCUCUAUAGGAUCCCCAGGUGUUCUAUAGGGUCCCCCAGGUGCUCUAUAGGGUCCCCCAGGUGUUCUAUAGGGUCCCCCAGGUGUUCUAUAGGAUCCCCAGGUGCUCUAUAGGUGUUCUAUAGGAUCCCCAGGUGCUCUAUAGGGUCCCCCGGGUGUUCCAUAGGUGUUCUAUAGGUGCUCUAUAGAUGUUCUAUAGGGUCCCCCAGGUGUUCUAUAGGGUCCCCCAGGUGUCCCCAGGUGUCCCCAGGUGUUCUAUAGGGUCCCCAGGUGUCCCCAGGUGUAUCCCAGGUGUAUCCCAGGUGAAUCUCAGGUGUGUUUUAGAUGUCCCCAGGUGUCCCCAGGUGUCCCCAGGUGUCCCCAGGUGUGUUUUUGGCUCACCUGGCUGGCCUUUAUCCCCACGCUGGCCGCGAUCACCUCGCAGGCGGCCCCAGGUGUAUCCCAGGUGUGUCUGUGUGUGUCUCAGGUGUAUCCAGGUGUGUUCUAGGUGUCCCCAGGUGUCCCCAGGUGUGUCUCAGGUGUCCCCAGGUGUGUUCUGGGUGUUCCCAGGUGUGUUUUGGGUGUCCCCAGGUGUGUCUGUGUGUGUCCCCAGGUGUCCCCAGGUGUGUCCCCAGGUGUCCCCAGGUGUCCCCAGGUGUGUCCCAGGUGUCCCCAGGUGUGUUUUUGAUGUCCCCAGGUGUCCCCAGGUGUCCCCAGGUGUGUUUUGGGUGUCCCCAGGUGUGUUUUUGAUGUCCCCAGGUGUGUCCCAGGUGUCCCCAGGUGUCCCCAGGUGUGUUCUGGGUGUUCCCAGGUGUGUUUUGGGUGUCCCCAGGUGUCCCCAGGUGUCCCCAGGUGUGUUUUGGGUGUCCCCAGGUGUGUCCCAGGUGUGUUUUUGAUGUCCCCAGGUGUCCCCAGGUGUCCCCAGGUGUCCCCAGGUGUCCCCAGGUGUGUCCAGGUGUCCCCAGGUGUGUUUUUGAUGUCCCCAGGUGUGUCCAGGUGUGGUUUUGGCUCACCUGGCUGGCCUUUGUCCCCACGCUGGCCGCGAUCACCUCGCAGGCGGCCCCAGGUGUGUCUGUGUGUGUCCCCAGGUGUCCCCAGGUGUGUCUGUGUGUAUCUCAGGUGUCCCCAGGUGUCCCCAGGUGUCCCCAGGUGUGUACCAGGUGUGUUUUUGAUGUCCCCAGGUGUGUCCAGGUGUGUUUUUGGCUCACCUGGCUGGCCUUUGUCCCCACGCUGGCCGCGAUCACCUCGCAGGCGGCCCCAGGUGUG
rnacentral:lncRNA from 1 species